CCAGUUUCUCAUCCAGAGUCACAGCCUGGAGCCAGAGAGACAAUCCUGCAAGACGCCAGAUCGCCUGGAACUGCUUUAGUCCAACGCUUCCAAUGAACCGCUAGAGGAACAAAGACACUUGAGCUGUCACAGCCGGUGCACAGCUUCAGCAAGAAAACCACAAUCCAGUGUGCUAUUGUUGUGCUUCACUGCUUGGCUGUCAGAAUCGGGAUUACAGAGAUGUUUAGAGUGUCAUCAUCACACUUCAGCCCCCCUGGCAUGGCUCACAUUAAGCAGGACAGUUAGGGAAUGAUGGGACUGGCAUCACCGCGUUUCUUCGAGGAAAGUGACCUUGUUUUUUUUCUGUCUCUUCAUCUCAGGAAAGUGUUCUCCCAGAGGAAGAUCACAUUGCUUAAAGGUUGCUCUGAUAUAGCCUAAUAGAGGUCUCGGUAGCUUGUUUAAGAUGGCCUAAAAUCAUUGUGGAGUAAUGCCACUCACGCAAUGCUGCUUGUUUAAACUACUUAUUCAAAAUGAGUUGAAAAAACACUUUUUUUUUAUUUUGUUUUUGUUUGGGAUAAUAAAAAAAGCAUUGUUCAAACC
rnacentral:lncRNA from 1 species